GAGAAUUCCUUUGCGCCACUCCUUCUAUGGUCAUUCAUCGAAGACCUCCUCGCCUCCACCACAUCCUUAACGAGUGAAGCACUAAAGAGGGAAGCGAACCAAACCCUCGUUUGCCCCAAAAUCAUCUCAACGGUGAAAGUUAUUGAGGUUAUGAUAGGUAAAGAUCAACUACAAACAAUGAUGGCUUGAUGAAGAUUGGCUGGCGGCAGUUGUUGAAAGUAGUGAGAGGGGUGGUGAUGACGGCUGGACUAGGAGUAGGUUAGCCAAUAGAGUUAAUGUUGUGGGCUUGGAGGGCUAAUUAGGGUUUAAUGUAAAUGGGUUUAUUUUUGGGCUUUACUUUGGGCUUUGGUUAUAAUGGACUGAACUCUUAGUUUUUAUGAUUUAUUUUGGAUUAGUUUUAAAAUUUCCGGGCCUUAAAAUAAAGGUCUAGACUAA